rnacentral:rRNA from 1 species
GACGAACGCUGGCGGCGUGCUUAACACAUGCAAGUCGAACGGAAAGGCCCUGCUUGCCGGGUGCUCGAGUGGCGAACGGGUGAGUAACACGUGGGUGAUCUGCCCCUUACUUUGGGAUAAGCCUGGUAAACUGGGUCUAAUACUGGAUAGGUCCAUGCUGUAGGUGGUGUGGUGGACAGAUUAGUUUCGGUGAGGGAUGAGUUCGCGGCCUAUCAGCUUGGUGGUGGGGUAAUGGCCUAACAAGGCGGCGACGGGUAGCCGGCGUGAGAGGGUGGACGGCCACAUUGGGACUGAGAUACGGCCCAGACGCCGCCGGGAGGCAGCAGUGGGGAAUAGUGGACAAUGGGCGCAAGCAUGAUGCAGCGACGCCGCGUGGGGGAUGACGGCCUUCGGGUUGUAAACUCCUUUCAGCCAUGACGAAGCCCGGGUGGUGACGGUAGUGGUAGAAGAAGCACCGGCUAACUACGUG